UAUAGGUUGGUUUCUGUUUCAGGUAAUCAAAGAGUGCUAACUGGCACAGUGCUCUUCUUUAUUGAAUUUCUGGGUUUAUGCUUUUGAUAACAAGUAACCAAGUGAGAAGUUAGGUUACUCCUCAGCACCCUUCCAACUAUAAAGGAAAAUGUUAACACUUCAAGGUUCUCAAAAGAGAAUCAACAAAUACAUCCACCAGAAUUUAAAGCAGGAUCUUGAAUAGAUAUUUGGGCACCAUGCUUAUAGCACCAUUAUCCACAACCGAAAGGUAGAAGCAAGCCAAGUGUCCAUUAACAAUUGAAUGGAAACAGAAUACAAGAUACACGUACAAUGGAAUAUUAGUCAAUCUUAUGACUAAAAUUUUAAUACAUGCCACAACAUGUAUGAAUGUUGAGAACAUUAUGCUAAAUUAAAUAAUUCAAUCACCAAAAGACAAAGAUUAUGUAUUCAUCUUGUGUGAGGUACAUAGAGUAAUCAAAUUCAUAGAAUUACAAAGUAGAAUGAUAGUUAUCAGCGAAAGGGUAAUUAUCAGAAUGGAAGUUGUUCUUUAUGGGUGCAGAGUUUUAGUUGUGAAAUAUGGAAAGAAUUCUGGAGAUUGGUGGUAUAACAAUGUGAAUGCACUUAGCACUACUAAACUGUACACUUGAAAAUGGAUAUAGUCGUAAAAUUUAUGUUAUCUGUAUUUUGUCACAAUAUUUAAAAAAUCACAUUCCCUGAAUAGCAUUUUUGAUUUCUGUAAUAUGGACAGAGACAGCAGAAUUAAUCUGGAUUUAAGUGAAAAGCCCACAUUCUAUUCCUGGCUUUGAAUUCAAACAAGUGUGACAUCCAAGAUUGGUUGAUGUCUCUAAACCUCAUCUCACUCAUAUGCCCCUUGAAUUCAUUCAUACAGGUACCUGCUUAGGUUCUAGGUCCUACUUCCGGGAACAGAGAUGAAUAAGAGGUGGCUUUCUGGGGAAGCUUGAUCUAAGAAAUCAUCUCUGAGCGUCUCUGGGAAAACCUAGCCCCAAGGGACUCAGCAGGGGUGGUACUCCAGGCACAGCAGCAGUAUGCCCCAAAUUCCAAGCAAACAGGGGCCUAAGAAUUGUAGUGUUGAAGCUGGGCAGCAGAUAAGGACAGGUAAGGGGAAACUGAUGGGAGGUGGGGCUGAAUAGGGAAUUUAAAACUGGGUAGUGGGUGGUGUGUGGGGUACUUUGGAGGUAGGCAGGUUUUCCUUCCCUGUGCUUGUUCUGCAGACCCUCAAGAGGCACAUGUAAUCUAGGGGAUGAUUCAUGCCGAGUCUCCUUUUUGGGUAUUUUCAGUACCCAUUUGCUUAUAAGAGUUGAAAUCUCUGGCUAUUAAAGUCCUAAGUGAUUUUAUCUGACCCAACAUUCCCUAAAUUUAUGACCAUGGAAUUUGCUGAUAUAUCCUUUAGUGCCAAGUCUAUAUUAGAAAAAAAAAAAACUUUGGGAAAAUCUGUGUUAGGAGUGGAACCCUGCAAUAUAGGGCACGUUUAAUCUUGGCUUCUUCUUUUAAAAGCUGAAAGACUUGUGCUGGGAGACAGUCUCACAUUCUGUAUUUUUAAGACUAGUCUCUUUCCUGCCUUCCUCUGCUAACAUUCCUAAAUAGGAAAGUGCCAUGUAGGAGAAGGCCAGGAUGUAAGGGGCAUCUGAAUUAGGCAUCUGUGUAUACAUUCUGCCUCCAAAACAAUUCCCGACUUCUUUUUUAGAAGCAGGACUCUGAGACAAGGACUUUAAGUGCAAUAACUUAUUUGGGAAGUGUUCCUAGGAAAUACUCCUGGAGGAAUGAGAAAGUGAUCCAGGGAAGAUAAGGCAGCCAGUAUAUAAUGUGCAUUCAAAUAAUUCAACAUGCGAAUGGGCAACUGAAGUUUAUUCCCUCUGGGAAGCUCCAGGAGGCAGCGCGGAAUAUACACCUCAAGUCACUCCGGCACAGCGGCAAGAGACCCGGGACGUAGUACGCCAGCUCCUGACAGUGAGUGGGUGAGGACAGUAGGGCUCAGUGAGGACAAACAACAUGAUUAUGGCAACCUGUGGACAGAAAGAACUGCGCUUUAGAGAUCUAACUACUCAUGGCUCUUGGCCCUACAGCAGGGUGUUGUCUCUUCAAAUAUUUGACUAUAUCCAAAUCUUGUUGGCACCUUCAUGUACUAGACUCUUCUUCUGGGACAGAGGAACCCAUGAUUUGCCUUCAUCAAAGGUAACAAAAUAGUAACUAUGAGUCAGGGGAGAAUAGAAUGAAAAGAAUACCUCAAGGAGAAUAUUCCAGCUUCUCAUCUGCUGUCAGUAUUGGCUCCUGAAUAAGCUCAAGGGAAAUUUCUGUCUGUUCUGCACACCCUCCCACAGUCACAGAACAUUCUAACGGACACUUAUUUUAUGAAAAUUGUUUGUUGCUCUGCAUCUCUUAUAAUUACCUUAUGUAUUUAAGCAAUUAGCAAUCAGAACUCACAUCUUAUUGGUACCCAAGCAAAUGUGAAAUGUAAAAAUGCAAAUUGUAGAGAAUGAAAAUAGAUUUUAGGUUGUUUGCACAUAUGUUGAUUUCCAUGAACAAUU